rnacentral:ncRNA from 1 species
CCCACUUUAAUUUGAUGGAUAUCGUAAGCAAUAAAUAUGGUUAAAUAUGGAUCCUGAAGUGUAGCAUUCUCCAGUUUAAGAUUUUAAAUUAUAUAAGAAAUUAUAAUUUAGACAGUUUAUUAAUUUAGGUUUAUUAGGUGCCAGCAACCGCGGUCAAACCUAAUAAGUUAGCUUACAAGUUUAUUAAAUUACUUAUAAUUCUUUAAAGUAAUAUAAUAAAUGGUGAAAUAUUAUUAUGAAUAUUAAUUCUCAAAAGUAUGGCUAUAACAAAUUCAUAGAUAAAACUAGGAUUAGAGACCCUACUAUUAUGACCCCAACUAAGUAAUUUAAUAAGGAUUAAAAUUAUAUUAAUUCAAACUUAAAAAUUAUGGCGGCUAAAUAAAUCAUUUAGGGGAACUUACCAUAUAAUUGAUAACCACCAAGCAUUAUUAUACUUACUUUUUAAAAAAUUUGUAUACCGUUGUCUUCAUGAACCCCUACAAAGGGGUUCAUGAAUAUUAAUCAAAUAUUAAGACAAAUCAAGGUGCAGUCUAUUGGUAAGAAUUAAGGUGAGUUACAUUAAUUAAUUUAUUCGGACUACGAAAUGAAAAAUUGUAUAAAGAUGGACUUAAAAGUAAUAUAUAAGGAUAAUUAAAAUAUGAACAUGUUUUAUUUGGUGUACAAAUCGCCCGUCACUCUCGCUGAAAAGGGAGAUAAGUCGUAACAAAGUAGGGGUAGUGGAAGCUGCCCCUAAUAAUAUACUUACACCAUGUAGUAGUA